CUUCCACCGUCUCUUGAUGGAAGAUCAACGCGUAGAGAAGAAAAGUGAACUACCAACCGACUUAUUAGUAGACGUACUAUCGAGGCUCCCUGAGAAGACUCUUUGCAGGUUCACCUGUGUUUCCAAAGAAUGGAAUAGCUUGAUAUCUUCUCAUCCUAGCUUUGUCAAAGCUUUGCUCCACCAACGACUUCAUCGAAAAUCUUAUCUAUAUAUUUGGGAUAGAAGUAUUUUCGGCGGAUACGUUAAAUCUCUUCACGUAUCCAUCGUGGACACAGUUAACGAAAGGAUUCAGGAAAACUACCGUCUCCCUAUUAUGAAUACUUAUAUUUAUACCCUAAUCUCGUGUUAUAGUCUUUUAUGUUUGGUUCAGACAAAAAUUUCUAUUUAUAAUCAGAGCACCCGAGAGAGAGCAAUUCUUCCUGAUCGUGAUCAUCUUGAUCAUGUAGGUAUAGGUUUAGGGUACUCAUCUGUUGGAAAAGAAUUCAAAAUUGUUAGGUGGUAUAUGAAGGAUGGCAGAAUGAGUAUGGGGUGUGAAAUUUUCAGUCUAACUGAUCGUCUCAAAUUCAAAUCAGAUUCGUGGAGAUUGACUGAAACGUGUCCUAUUGAAUUCCUUAGCAAUCCUUCUGUGUUUGUUAAUGGAGUGAUUUUUUGGCAGAUACUUAACCCAACGUUGGAGAAUUUUUUCGAAUCCAUUUCUCUUCUUGUCUUGGAUUUGGAUGAGGAAGAAUCCCAAAUCAUUUCAUGCACAAAGCUCAGUCCUGAUACCGUUGCCUACUUGGUAGAGUUAAAGGAGUGUUUAUAUUUAGCACAUUGUUCCAUAGGAAAAGCAGUUGUGAAAAUGUGGAGGCUGGAAGACCAAAAAAAUAUUCAACGUCCAUGGUCUUUCCCAAUCUUU
rnacentral:lncRNA from 1 species